rnacentral:rRNA from 1 species
GACGAACGCUGGCGGCGUGCCUAAUACAUGCAAGUAGAACGCUGACGGAGGUGCUUGCUCCUCUGGAUGAGUUGCGAACGGGUAAGUAACGCGUAGGUAACCUGCCUGGUAGCGGGGGAUAACUAUUGGAAACGAUAGCUAAUACCGCAUCAGAGUAGAUGUUGCAUGACAUUUACUUCAAAGGUGCAAUUGCAUCACUACCAGAUGGACCUGCGUUGUAUUAGCUAGUUGGUGGGGUAACGGCUUACCAAGGCGACGGUACAGAGCCGACCUGAGAGGGUGGUCCACCAAACCGGGACUGGGAAACGGCCCAGGAUCCUACGGGAGGGAGCAGUAGGGGAUCUUUGGCAAUGGACGGAAGUCUGACUGCAGCAAGGCGGGUGAGUGAAGAAGGGUUUCGGGGCGGUAAGCUGUGUUGUAAGAGAAGGAAGAGUGUGAGUGUAGAAAGUUCAGGUUAUGACGGUACCUUAAGAAAAAGAGACGGCUAACUACGUG